rnacentral:rRNA from 1 species
UACAGAGGUCUCGAGCGUAAUCGGAUUCAUUGGGCUUAAAGCGUACGUAGGCGGAUGUGCAGGCAUCGUGUGAAAUCCCUGGCUCAACCAGGGAACUGCUCGGUGAACCGCACGUCUUGAGGCAAGUAGAGGCUGUCGGAACGAUAGGUGGAGCGGUGAAAUGCGUAGAUAUCUAUCGGAACGCCGAAGGUGAAAACAGGCAGCUGGGCUUGAUCUGACGCUGGAGGUACGAAAGCGUGGGGAGCGAACGGG